CAGCCGUAAACUAUGCUCGCUAGGUGUCAGGCAUGGCGCGACCGUGUCUGGUGCCGCAGGGAAGCCGUGGAGCGAGCCACCUGGGAAGUACGGCCGCAAGGCUGAAACUUAAAGGAAUUGGCGGGGGAGCACAACAACGGGUGGAGCCUGCGGUUUAAUUGGACUCAACGCCGGACAACUCACCGGGGACGACAGCAAUAUGUAGGCCAGGCUGAAGACCUUGCCUGAAUCGCUGAGAGGAGGUGCAUGGCGUAGACGUCU
rnacentral:rRNA from 1 species